UAAUAAGUGUUUUACUGCACUUUUUAAAAAUAGUACUCACCUUGUGUGCAAUGUUGUGUGAAUGUCACACUUCGACUGUGAAUUUCACACCUCGAAGCGAGAUUUUCACACCUACACCAACCUUUAAUUUGAACCACUUUGUCUGAAAAACUAUUAUGAAUACUUAAUUCAAAAUA
rnacentral:misc_RNA from 1 species